rnacentral:tRNA from 1 species
GCGGGUGUCGUACAAUGGCAGUACGCGAGCUUCCCAAGCUCGAGACGUGGGUUCGAUUCCCAUCACCCGCUCCA